ACCCUAAUUUACCGCUUUCCUCAGCCUCUGAAACACGCAGUCCCACCCCCUUUCUUCCUAAACCUAACAUAGAAAUGGAAAGAAAAAUCAGACAAGGAAAGAAAGGAAAUCAGAUUGUGAUCUAGGGAAGGAGCGAAGGGAGACGCCGUGGCCACGUAGCUGCCAUCCCGUUGCCCACACCGUCGCAAGGAAAGACCAGAGCCGAGGUAGAGAGUAGCGCCCAGAGGGAGAGAGGCCGACAUCAUCGUCGUUCGUACUCGUCGGAGGAAGCUGUCGCAAGCCUCUUCGCCAUCAUCGUCGUCAUCAUCCUCGUGAACUGUAGGGCCGUGCAGUCCAGCCACCGUGACCUUCGCGGAGCCCGCGUUAUUACCGCCUUUGAGAUCGUCAUCGUCACUGUCACUGGAGGUCUGUGAAGAGAGGGAAGAUGCCGCAGCCGUGGCACUGUCACACCAUCACCGCUGUUACCCUGGAGCUUGCCGUUGUCAUCAAGCAGGACGGAGAUGAGAACGACGCGAGGGAGAGAUUGUGCGCGCCUGAGGAGCUGCCACCGUCCUUAUUGUUGCUGCCAUGGUCGCCAGUGAGUCGUGCACCGCCAUAAGAGUUCAAAACAGCACCAGCCUUCUUGUUCUGAUUCUGAUUCUCCUAUUCUUGAACCUAUAAGCUUUAAUACUUACUCUGCUUCCAUUUUAUUUCUUAGACUUUUUCUAUUAUGAGUAAGGAAAACCUAUGUCUCUAUUUAACACUGCUGCUAUGCCUUCCCUGCUUGCUGAUGGAACUAUCAUAGGUGAUAGUAUUAAUGAUACUGAAGAACGGUUAGAGUUGCUGCUUCUUCUGAGAUUAAUAAAGAGGGGAUCAUCGCGUUUAAAUUCAACGGGUUCAACUAACUGAGACACUGCAGAGCAGUCAUGGUUUAACGAGCUUGAUCAAAAUUUUGUUGCAACAAGUUAAUCCUGAUAUGAGUGCAGAACAAGUGCAAGUAAUGAUAGAAGCUGGCCAACAUCUCCGCCUGAUGCAAGUAGUGCACCAAAUGAUGCGAGACAAAGCAUUCCUCCUUCACUGGGAUUGAACCAUGUGUCAAAAGAUAUGGAACAAGUUCUGAGCUUUCAAAUGGUAAAGUGGCUGAAACAAAAGUUUUCAAGUGUUGAGAAGAAAGAAUAGCAAUACCAGAAACAAUCUAUCCUAGCAAAGUCUAAGUUGUAUUGCUCUCACACCUGUGGAACAAUUCUGCUAAUAGUGUCUAUUUAGUGAUAGUGUAUAUAUCACUGUAUAAAACUAAGAUUGAGACAAGUGUAUUUACUCAACUAUAUUGAUAUGUUAGCUGGUUACUUUAA